GAUGAACGCUGGCGGCGUGCCUAAUACAUGCAAGUCGAGCGAACGGACGAGAAGCUUGCUUCUCUGAUGUUAGCGGCGGACGGGUGAGUAACACGUGGAUAACCUACCUAUAAGACUGGUAUAACUUCGGGAAACCGGAGCUAAUACCGGAUAAUAUUUUGAACCGCAUGGUUCAAAAGUAAAAGACGGUCUUGCUGUCACUUAUAGAUGGAUCCGCGCUGCUUUAGCUAGUUGGUAAGGUAACGGCUUACCAAGGCAACGAUGCAUAGACGACCUGAGAGGGGGAUCGGCCACACUGGAGCGGAGCCACGGUCCAGACUACUACGGGAGGCAGCAGUAUGGAAUCUUCCGCAAUGGGCGAAAGCCUGACGGAGCAACGCCGAGUGAGUGAUGAAGGUCUUCGGAUCGUAAAACUCCGUUAUUAGGGAAGAACAUAUGUGGAAGUAACUGUGCACAUCUUGACGGUACCUAAUCAGAAAGCCACGGCUAACUACGUG
rnacentral:rRNA from 1 species